UAAUCGCUGCCAUACCAUAGAAUAAACCUUU
rnacentral:piRNA from 1 species